GAUGAACGCUGGCGGCGUGCCUAAUACAUGCAAGUCGAGCGAACAGAUGAGGAGCUUGCUCCUCUGACGUUAGCGGCGGACGGGUGAGUAACACGUGGAUAACCUACCUAUAAGACUGGGAUAACUUCGGGAAACCGGAGCUAAUACCGGAUAAUAUAUUGAACCGCAUGGUUCAAUAGUGAAAGACGGUUUUGCUGUCACUUAUAGAUGGAUCCGCGCCGCAUUAGCUAGUUGGUAAGGUAACGGCUUACCAAGGCAACGAUGCGUAGCCGACCUGAGAGGGGGAUAGGCCACACUGGAACUGAGACACGGUCCAGACUCCUACGGGAGGCAGCAGUAGGGAAUCUUCGGCAAUGGGCGAAAGCCUGACGGAGCAACGGCGCGUGAGUGAUGAAGGUCUUCGGAUCGUAAAACUCUGUUAUUAGGGAAGAACAAAUGUGUAAGUAACUAUGCACGUCUUGACGGUACCUAAUCAGAAAGCCACGGCUAACUACGUG
rnacentral:rRNA from 1 species